AGAGUUUGAUCAUGGCUCAGAACGAACGCUGGCGGCGUGGAUAAGACAUGCAAGUCGAACGGAAACUACUUAGCUUGCUUUGUAGUUUGAGUGGCGAACGGGUGAGUAACACGUGAGCAACCUGCCCAGAAGCGGGGGAUAGCUCGGGGAAACUCGAAUUAAUACCGCAUGUGAUCCUGUGUAGCAUUGCACAGAGAUUAAAGGUGCCUUCGGGUGCCACUUCUGGAUGGGCUCGCGGCCUAUCAGUUAGUUGGUGAGGUAACGGCCUACCAAGGCAACGACGGGUAACUGGUCUGAGAGGAUGAUCAGUCACACUGGAACUGAGACACGGUCCAGACACCUACGGGUGGCAGCAGUCGAGAAUCAUUCGCAAUGGGGGAAACCCUGACGGUGCGACGCCGCGUGGAGGAUGACGGUCUUCGGAUUGUAAACUCCUGUCAUCGAAGAGUAAGGCUUGUUAGUAAAUAGCUAGCAAGAUUGAUAGUAUUCGAAGAGGAAGGGACGGCUAACUUCGUGCCAGCAGCCGCGGUAAUACGAAGGUCCCAAGCGUUGUUCGGAAUCACUGGGCGUAAAGGGAGCGUAGGCGGCGUGGUAAGUCAGAUGUGAAAUUCCGGGGCUCAACCUCGGAACUGCAUCCGAUACUGCCAUGCUAGAGUGGUGGAGGGGCAUCUGGAAUUCACGGUGUAGCAGUGAAAUGCGUAGAGAUCGUGAGGAACACUAGUGGCGAAGGCGAGAUGCUGGACACUUACUGACGCUGAGGCUCGAAGGCCAGGGUAGCGAAAGGGAUUAGAUACCCCUGUAGUCCUGGCAGUAAACGGUGCACGUUUGGUGUGAGAGGGUUCGACCCCUUUCGUGCCGGAGUUAACGCGUUAAACGUGCCGCCUGGGGAGUACGGCCGCAAGGCUAAAACUCAAAGAAAUUGACGGGGACCCGCACAAGCGGUGGAGUAUGUGGCUUAAUUCGAUGCAACGCGAAGAACCUUACCUGGGCUUGACAUGCUUGUCGUAGGCAGUGUGAAAGCAUUUGGUGGAUUCAAGUUCGCUUGAAACAGUUAUCACAGGUGCUGCAUGGCUGUCGUCAGCUCGUGUUGUGAGGUGUCCGGUUAAGUCCGGUAACGAGCGCAACCCCUAUUUUUAGUUGCCAGCAUUUCGGAUGGGCACUCUAAAGGGACUGCCGGUGACAAACCGGAGGAAGGUGGGGACGACGUCAAGUCAGCAUGGCCCUUAUGUCCUGGGCUACACACAUGCUACAAUGGCUAGUACAAUGGGUUGCCAAAUCGCAAGAUGGAGCUAAUCCCAUCAAAGCUAGUCUCAGUUCGGAUUGCAGGCUGCAACUCGCCUGCAUGAAGCUGGAAUCGCUAGUAAUCGUGGAUCAGCAUUGCCACGGUGAAUACGUUCCCGGGCCUUGCACACACCGCCCGUCACACCACGAAAGUCGGU
rnacentral:rRNA from 1 species